rnacentral:rRNA from 1 species
UACGGGGGGAGCAAGCGUUGUUCGGAUUUACUGGGCGUAAAGGGCGCGUAGGCGGCGUGACAAGUCACUUGUGAAAUCUCCGGGCUUAACCCGGAGCGGCCAAGUGAUACUGUCGUGCUAGAGUGCGGAAGGGGCUACUGGAAUUCUCGGUGUAGCGGUGAAAUGCGUAGAUAUCGAGAGGAACACCUGCGGCGAAGGCGGGUGGCUGGGCCGACACUGACACUGAGGCGCGAAAGCCAGGGGAGCG